GUCUACAGCCAUGCCACCCUGAACAAGCCCAAUCCCAUCUGACCUCAGAAGCUAAGCAGGGUCGAGUCUGGUUAGUGCUUGGAUGGGAGACCACCUAGGAAGACCAGGUGCUGUAGGUA
rnacentral:rRNA from 1 species